rnacentral:lncRNA from 1 species
AGUUGUGGUUCCUGGGCUCUAAAGCACAAGCUCAAUAGUUGUGGUGCACAAGCUUAAUUGCUCCAAAGAAUGUGGGAUCUUCCUGGACCAGGGAUCGAACCUGUGUCUCCUGCACUGGCAGCCAGAUUCUUUGCCACCGAGCCGCCAGGGAAGCCCUCUACUCUAUCUUCUGACAUGACAGUAGAUGGAUCAGAAUCUUAGGAGAUUUCUUCUGAAAUCUUGCUAACCUGUGACUACAAACUCUCGGAUGGAAGAGGAGCUAUAAAUUGGUGCAAUAAGAUGCUGAAGGAUUGGAGGAGAUGCUUAAGGAAAAACAAAUGUUGUCCUUUAGCUAGUUUACCAGGUUUUGCCUAGCUGAAAGGGUAUGUAAGCUUAAAGAGAGAGAUAUAUUGUUAAAUUCUGCUAUUAGAAAUACAGAAGACUAGAUAUUUCAAAACUUCUUUCAUUUUGAAACACUGAGAUGCUGGAUAAAUUGCAAGUAUUAAAUGAGUUGAUGAAUAAGGGAUAUUCACAGGAACAUAAAGUAAAAUAAAACAAAAUAAGCCAUGAGCAGAAAAGUCAGCAAAUUCAAAACCUGGGGCUGCUCGAGAAACAAAUGUCAAAGUCAGGAUUCUAGAGUAGAGAUUAGCAAACCACAGCAUGUGAGCCAACCACCCACCUGUUUUUGUAAAUAAAGUUUUAUUGGCACAUGGCCAUGCUCAUUCAUUUAUGUAUCAUCCAUGGCUGCUUUUGUGCUACAACAGCAGAGCUGAGUAGUUGCAAUGGAGAUCAUAUGGCCUACAAGCUUAAAAUAUUUACUCUCAUACUUUAAGAAAACCCUUAAUGGUCAUGCAAGGAAAUGGGGUCUUUGGACCCAUACAAUGUGGGAGAGGAACCUGAGAGUCAUCAGAGCUUGAACCUUCAAAUGGGCUUUCUCUGCAGAAAAAUGGUGGGCUAGAAAAACACACUAGCUGGUAAAAGCAAGUUAGAGAUAAAUCCUUCUGUUUCACCACAGCUCCAGGUGGAAAAUGCAAUUAAUAAUAGUGAUAAUAAUAAAAAAUUGUAAAUAAUAAUGAUGGC